AGUGAACGCUGGCGGUAGGCCUAACACAUGCAAGUCGAACGGCAGCACAGUAAGAGCUUGCUCUUACGGGUGGCGAGUGGCGGACGGGUGCGGAAUACAUCGGAAUCUACUUUUUCGUGGGGGAUAACGUAGGGAAACUUACGCUAAUACCGCAUACGACAUACGGGUGAAAGCAGGGGAUCUUCGGACCUUGCGCGAUUGUAUGAGCCGAUGUCGGAUUAGCUAGUUGGCGGGGUAAAGGCCCCCCAAGGCGACGAUCCGUAGCUGGUCUGAGUGGAUGAUCAGCCACACUGGAACUGAGACACGGUCCAGACUCCUACGGGAGGCAGCAGUGGGGAAUAUUGGACAAUGGGCGCAAGCCUGAUCCAGCCAUACCGCGUGGGUGAAGAAGGCCUUCGGGUUGUAAAGCCCUUUUGUUGGGAAAGAAAAGCAGCAGGUUAAUACCCCGCUGUUCUGACGGUACCCAAAGAAUAAGCACCGGCUAACUUCGUG
rnacentral:rRNA from 1 species